rnacentral:rRNA from 1 species
UACGUAGGGUGCAAGCGUUGUCCGGAAUUAUUGGGCGUAAAGGGCUCGUAGGCGGUCCAUCGCGUCGGGAGUGAAAAGCUGGGGCUCAACCCCAGUCCUGCUUCCGAUACGGGUGGACUAGAGGUAUGCAGGGGAGAACGGAAUUCCUGGUGUAGCGGUGAAAUGCGCAGAUAUCAGGAGGAACACCGAUUGCGAAGGCAGCUCGCUGGAACGUUACUGACGCUGAGACGCGAAAGCGUGGGGAGCAAACAGG